rnacentral:rRNA from 1 species
GACUUGGUGUUACUGCGAAGGGGGGACGGAGAAGGCUAUGCUGGCCGGGCGACGGUUGUCCCGGUUUAAGCGUGUAGGCUGGUUUUCCAGGCAAAUCCGGAAAAUCAAGGCUGAGGCGUGAUGACGAGGCACUACGGUGCUGAAGCAACAAAUGCCCUGCUUCCAGGAAAAGCCUCUAAGCAUCAGGUAACAUCAAAUCGUACCCCAAACCGACACAGGUGGUCAGGUAGAGAAUACCAAGGCGCUUGAGAGAACUCGGGUGAAGGAACUAGGCAAAAUGGUGCCGUAACUUCGGGAGAAGGCACGCUGAUAUGUAGGUGAGGUCCCUCGCGGAUGGAGCUGAAAUCAGUCGAAGAUACCAGCUGGCUGCAACUGUUUAUUAAAAACACAGCACUGUGCAAACACGAAAGUGGACGUAUACGGUGUGACGCCUCCCCGGUGCCGGAAGGUUAAUUGAUGGGGUUAGCGCAAGCGAAGCUCUUGAUCGAAGCCCCGGUAAACGGCGGCCGUAACAAUAACGGUCCUAAGGUAGCGAAAUUCCUUGUCGGGUAAGUUCCGACCUGCACGAAUGGCGUAAUGAUGGCCAGGCUGUCUCCACCCGAGACUCAGUGAAAUUGAACUCGCUGUGAAGAUGCAGUGUACCCGCGGCAAGACGGAAAGACCCCGUGAACCUUUACUAUAGCUUGACACUGAACAUUGAGCCUUGAUGUGUAGGAUAGGUGGGAGGCUUUGAAGUGUGGACGCCAGUCUGCAUGGAGCCGACCUUGAAAUACCACCCUUUAAUGUUUGAUGUUCUAACGUUGACCCGUAAUCCGGGUUGCGGACAGUGUCUGGUGGGUAGUUUGACUGGGGCGGUCUCCUCCUAAAGAGUAACGGAGGAGCACGAAGGUUGGCUAAUCCUGGUCGGACAUCAGGAGGUUAGUGCAAUGGCAUAAGCCAGCUUGACUGCGAGCGUGACGGCGCGAGCAGGUGCGAAAGCAGGUCAUAGUGAUCCGGUGGUUCUGGAUGGAAGGGCCAUCGCUCAACGGAUAAAAGGUACUCCGGGGAUAACAGGCUGAUACCGCCCAAGAGUUCAUAUCGACGGCGGUGUUUGGCACCUCGAUGUCGGCUCAUCACAUCCUGGGGCUGAAGUAGGUCCCAAGGGUAUGGCUGUUCGCCAUUUAAAGUGGUACGCGAGCUGGGUUUAGAACGUCGCGAGACAGUUCGGUCCCUAUCUGCCGUGGGCGCUGGAGAACUGAGGGGGGCUGCUCCUAGUACGAGAGGACCGGAGUGGACGCAUCACUGGUGUUCGGGUUGUCAUGCCAAUGGCACUGCCCGGUAGCUAAAUGCGGAAGAGAUAAGUGCUGAAAGCAUCUAAGCACGAAACUUGCCCCGAGAUGAGUUCUCCCUGACCCUUUAAGGGUCCUGAAGGAACGUUGAAGACGACGACGUUGAUAGGCCGGGUGUGUAAGCGCAGCGAUGCGUUGAGCUAACCGGUACUAAUGAACCGUGAGGCUUAACC